rnacentral:rRNA from 1 species
AGAGUUUGAUCCUGGCUCAGGAUGAACGCUAGCUACAGGCUUAACACAUGCAAGUCGCGGGGCAGCAUGUUACUGGCUUGCCAGUAAUGAUGGCGACCGGCGCACGGGUGAGUAUCGCGUAUCCAACCUUCCCAUAUCCACGGGAUAGCCUGCCGAAAGGCAGAUUAAUACCGUAUGUUGUCGCACGCUGGCAUCAAAAUGCGACGAAAGGCUUAGCGGAUAUGGAUGGGGAUGCGUCCGAUUAGCUUGACGGCGGGGUAACGGCCCACCGUGGCGACGAUCGGUAGGGGUUCUGAGAGGAAGGUCCCCCACAUUGGAACUGAGACACGGUCCAAACUCCUACGGGAGGCAGCAGUGAGGAAUAUUGGUCAAUGGGCGGAAGCCUGAACCAGCCAAGUAGCGUGCAGGAUGACGGCCCUAUGGGUUGUAAACUGCUUUUAUGCGGGGAUAAAGUAUGGGACGUGUCCCAUUUUGCAGGUACCGCAUGAAUAAGGACCGGCUAAUUCCGUGCCAGCAGCCGCGGUAAUACGGAAGGUCCGGGCGUUAUCCGGAUUCAUUGGGUUUAAAGGGAGCGUAGGCCGCCCCUUAAGCGUGUUGUGAAAUGCCGCGGCUCAACCGUGGCACUGCAGCGCGAACUGGGGGGCUUGAGUGUGCGCGACGCAGGCGGAAUUCGUGGUGUAGCGGUGAAAUGCUUAGAUAUCACGAGGAACCCCGAUUGCGAAGGCAGCUUGCGGGAGCACUACUGACGCUGAAGCUCGAAGGCGCGGGUAUCGAACAGGAUUAGAUACCCUGGUAGUCCGUCGCGGUAAACGAUGGAUGCCCGCUGUGUGCCAUUACGGUAUGCGGCCAAGCGAAAGUCGUUAAGCA